rnacentral:lncRNA from 1 species
GAUCAUGAAUAUGAAAAAAAAAAACUUUGAAAACUAAAAAUAAUAAGUAUAUUGAGAAAACAUUUGGACCAUUAAGUUACAUCUCGACAUCGACAUGAUCAAUCAAAGGGUUUUUCAACAUUAAAACUACCUUUUCCGAUGGAUUUUUGAAGUGCAUCCAUAAUUCUACAUUGCAUCCAUAAUUCUACAUUAUAAGGUUGCAUCCUUAUAUAUACUUUUUCCUUAUUUUAAUAGGGCUUGGGUGAGAGGUUAGAGGUACGCACAUGGCUAGGGGGAGAGAAGAAGUAAGGUAACGUCCUAGAAAGUGGGGAUUUUGCAGAAAAUAUAUUAGUUAAGAGAUAGAAUAUUCCCCCGUGUAUUAAUGUUCAAAAAAAUAAUAAUAAUACUCAAUAGAGAGAGCAGUAGAGGCUAACUAGUGGAUCAUUCACUUGAAAGUGAAUAUAAUCGAUCACCAUGGUAUGAAAUAUACAUAUCCUAAUUGAAACGGAUCAAAGGAAUAAGACUACUUAUGUUGGGGCAAGAUUUAUUUAAUUAGUUAUUUUUUUACGUAUCAGAAGAGAUAUACUAGGGAUGGAAGGAACACCUUUCUCAGACUUGAAUUGACUGAGAAAAAAAAUGCUUUCCUAGGAGAAAGCUUGCACAACAGAUUUGUUCCUCUCUCUUGUUUUUUUCCUGCUUAUGGUGUGAUUGAUUUAGGUAUUAAGUUUUUUGUGGCUAGAAUCUCUACUCUCUACUCUCUACUCUCUUCCCUUCUGUUUUGACGUAUCAAAUUGGUAGCAUGGCAGGCUUAUUGAUCCGCCAUGGCAGCUAGGGGACAUGGCGGAGGAGGAAGGCGCAACCAAGCUCAAAUUGACAUGAUCCAAGAGGUAUGGAGACAAGUAGAUCGAAUGGUACAAGAAAUUCAAGCCUUGUGGACCCGAUCAACCUGUUUGUGAAUUGGAUGUUGAGUCGGGAGAUGAUUCACAAUUAGAUGAGAAUCAUUUCCACAAUCAUUGCAUGGGGUUUUGAUCUUCCACUUGAUGAUCACUUUGAUCCCAUGGGUGGUCCGAUAUAUGAUAAAGAACAAGUUGAAGGUCACCAUUCCUUGAUAUCAUCUUGAACCUAGAGGAGCUAGAGUCUUGAGAGAAUUUAGAGGAAGAAAGAAGUCUAAGGAGGGAGACACAAAGGGGAGAGUUUGUGAAUGCAACAUAUGAGGUUCUUGAUAAUGUGAUCAAUUACUAUUAGAAAGAGGUUCUUGAUAAUGUGAUCAAUUACUAUUAAAAAGGUAUGGAGGUUGAAGAAGACAAAUCUUGUUUAACUGAAAAAAGAUCAACGAUAAAGA